UACGUAGGUGGCAAGCGUUGUCCGGAAUUAUUGGGCGUAAAGCGCGCGCAGGCGGCCUUUUAAGUCUGACGUGAAAGCCCACGGCUCAACCGUGGAAGGUCAUUGGAAACUGAGAGGCUUGAGUACAGAAGAGGAAAGCGGAAUUCCACGUGUAGCGGUGAAAUGCGUAGAGAUGUGGAGGAACACCAGUGGCGAAGGCGGCUUUCUGGUCUGUAACUGACGCUGAGGCGCGAAAGCGUGGGGAGCAAACAGG
rnacentral:rRNA from 1 species